UGGCAACGAAACAGUAUCCGGCAACUCACUGUGACGUAUAUAUAAACGAGACUGGACCUGGAGUGCCAAUCAACAGCCACACACCUUCGGGAACAUAAUAUAAUUCUUAUCUCUACUAAAGCGUCUCUGAGCAUCUGCAAUGGCUGCCCUUCGCACUGUCGCUGUCCUGCUGGUCGUCCUGCUGUCCCUGGCCGCCGUGAGCGAGUCCCUCGUGCUGUGCCCGACCUUCCCUGACUGCUGCCGGUCCAGGAGCUGCCACGCCCUGUGUCCGUCGUGCAGGGAGGCCCGGCACUUCUCCAACGGGAUCCGCAAGAGGCCCAGCGGCCGCGUGCCUCGCAUCAGCUUCAUCGAGGGAGACCCAUUCGCCUUCCCCAACGCAGACAUCUUCCCCAACCCGCUCAUCUUCAUCUAAGCUGCGACUCGGCUCCGGCUUCGGGUGGGCUCGCAGCCGGCCAGUCGGUUCCCGCGGAAGGGGCCGUUUCGAGGCUGCGAGACCACCGGAAGCCGAGGCGGGCGACGCGGGGAGGCGCGGGGGCGAGGCUUCUCCGUCUCGUUUCCCGGUCUCUCUGGGUCGCCUUCCCUGUGGGAGAUUAUUUCCCGUGGAUUCUUUCUCUCCUUUUUUCUUAAACAUUAUCCCUCCCUCCUUGCUUCAUCUUUUCUCCUCCUUUUCAAUCCUUUGGAGUCUUUAGCAUCGCUCUUUUCACUUCCGGGAAAGAAUCCAGCAACCCUAGUCAGUGAGGCUUCCUCCGGGGAGCCUCAUCUAGUCCUCAGGGAUCUCCUCGCCCAAGGGGUCCUCAGCCAAAGAUGUCGCGGCUCUCACCGUCGGGGAAGAGAUAAGAAUGCCAAGAGAAGAGUCUCUGCCAGACUGUCUCUCGCAGGUGGAUGUCAUGCCCGCUGUCAUGCACAUUCAUCCGCGCAGGAGAGGUGGCGAGUCGCGGGGAGUCGAAGUCCUCGAGAGAAAAGUCCCUGCUGGCUGUCUCUCGGCUCGACGACGCCCGCGCUCGACGCCCUCCCGCCGUGUCAACCAAACCAGAAGAAGAAUCUCCGGAUUGUCUCCUGGUUGCUCCGUUGUUCCCGAACUCCGUGCCCUUCCGGUGUCACGCGUCAAGCAGUACAAUGUUGUUAUUGGUGUGUGGAGUGUGAUUUGUCUGAAUGACAAGUGGUUUUAUUUAGUCUUCAAUAUGCGCAUUGUUACCAGUAUUAUCAUGAGAAGAUGAAUUCUCAUAAAUGUAUUUUGACCGGUCAAAUGAAAAAAUGUAUUAUUA